ensembl:snRNA U6 U6 spliceosomal RNA
UUACUUUGGUAGCACAUAUACUCAAAUUGGAACAAAACAGAGAAAAUUAGCAUGUCUUCUGUGCACGGAUAACAUGAAAAUUAGCCAAGUGUUCAAUCUUUUU